rnacentral:rRNA from 1 species
UGGGGAAUUUUGGACAAUGGGCGAAAGCCUGAUCCAGCAAUGCCGCGUGUGUGAAGAAGGCCCUCGGGUUGUAAAGCACUUUUGUCCGGAAAGAAAUCCUUGGCUCUAAUACAGUCGGGGGGUGACGGUACCGGAAGAAUAAGCACCGGCUAACUACGUGCCAGCAGCCGCGGUAAUACGUAGGGUGCAAGCGUUAAUCGGAAUUACUGGGCGUAAAGCGUGCGCAGGCGGUUUGCUAAGACCGAUGUGAAAUCCCCGGGCUCAACCUGGGAACUGCAUUGGUGACUGGCAGGCUAGAGUAUGGCAGAGGGGGGUAGAAUUCCACGUGUAGCAGUGAAAUGCGUAGAGAUGUGGAGGAAUACCGAUGGCGAAGGCAGCCCCCUGGGCCAAUACUGACGCUCAUGCACGAAAGCGUGGGGAGCAAACAGGAUUAGAUACCCUGGUAGUCCACGCCCUAAACGAUGUCAACUAGUUGUUGGGGAUUCAUUUCCUUAGUAACGUAGCUAACGCGUGAAGUUGACCGCCUGGGGAGUACGGUCGCAAGAUUAAAACUCAAAUGAAUUGACGGGGUCAUAGCUG